rnacentral:lncRNA from 1 species
AGAAGUGAUGGGGACGAAAGAUGAGUUGGUCAAAUGCCAGCUCAGGAUCCCCUUCCAAUCCUUCUUCCUCCAGUAGCUUGGAAGACAUAGCCACAAGGUACACUGAUUUCAUAUAUUUAUGACUGAGAUGCUGUAUGGAAACUGUUGAGUCACGGCCUGAACCACUGAUUGAUCUCACCUGAGGCAAGGACUGGGUCAGCUGUGGGAGCACAGGUGAAGGCAAUUCACCUGUGUGACCUCCUAGACCCCAUUUAAGGGCUGACUAACACCAGGAAAGAAUUUCUUUCUGGACAUCCCUUCUUUGUGGGGCUUUUCAUUGUGAGCCUAAAUCUUUGGACACAGGUGGUUGUGUGUGGAGCCAGAAGUUGGACUUGAUGAUCCCUGUGGGUCUCUUGUGGGAUAUUCCGUGAUUCUACAACUCUAAGAUGAGAGUUCUGUGUUUUACAAGCUGAGAGCUGAUGAUGUCUUUUGAAGUCAGUGGCUGUCUCCUGAUUGUAAACUGUCUAAAGCAGCAGUGGCUGGAACUGAGAUAGUUACUUCCAAAUGAGUUUUUAACUAAAUUAGGUUUUGAUAGCAGCUUAUCAAUAGCUGACAGCUGAGUAUUGAUAGAAAAGAGCAGAGUGAAGAUAGUUUCUUAUUUGCCAUCUGCUAGGUGACAGCACAGACAUCUAAUUCAUUUCUAUAUGAAGAACCAUUAGUGCCAUGCACAGAUUUCUGCAAGGACCCAGUGGCUGUUCCUAGCAUGUCACUUGCUCACAGCAUGUCCCUGCCAAAAGCAAAAAAAAAUUAGCCCGAUUAUUUGGUAUAUAUUUAGCUGAGUUUAGCAAAGAGAUAUAGAGCCAACACUUGUCACGAAAUACACUUGUGUCCAUGAUAGCUGCUGCAAGCAACUCUUGUGCUCCUGAGAGUGUGUUAACCAUCUCCAGGCAAUGAUCAGACAAAACAUUCAGCACAGAUCCCAUGAUCCAGUUAUACCACUUGUCCAGAAACAAUGACAUGAAAAAGUGAGUAAAAGUCAAACAACUGGAACUUCAGUUGUUUCUCUGAUGUUUAGUUCAAGGGAUUGAUUGAAGGACAAAUUAAUUUCUUACACCAAACAGCCACUGUUCAUAAAGCAGGCUCCAGCACCAAUUCCAAGCUCCCUCUUUGAAUCAGAGCCAGGAAGACAACUCAGGUAAGAUUUCUACCUUUGUGCACUGUCUACAGGUACCAGGCUACCUGUUUCCUGGUAGGUGCUUGAGUUUAGACCUAAAUCUAGAAGGAACGAAUCUGGGAUCUAGCUGUCACUUGAAGAUGCAAGAGCAGAUAACUUGCUGCUCUUUCUGCUGUAGCAGCAGAACAGAAUAAAUGUAUGGAUCUGUAAUAGAGAAUCAUAGAAUCAUCUAAAUAAGGAAAGACCUUCAAGACCAUGAAGUACAACCAUCCACCUGACCUACUACAUCUCAUCACUAAACUAUGUCCCUUAGUGCCAUAUCUACAUCUUUUAAAUAUCUCCAGGGGUAGGCAGUCCACCACUUCCUCGGGAAAUCUGUUUCAAUGCCUAACAUCCUUUUCCAUGAAUAGACUGUUCUUAAUAUCCUAUCUAUACCUUCUUCAAUGAAACUUGCAAUCCCUUUUUUGUGUUUUACCUCUCGUCACCUGAUGAAAGAGACUGGCCCAUUCUCACUGCAAGCUCCUUUCAGGAAGUUGUAGAAAGCAAUGGAGUGUCCCCUCAGCCUCCUCUUCUCCGGACUAAAUGAACCCAUUCCACUCCUCAUAUCUUGUUUUGUAGUCCUUUCACCAGCUUCAUUACUCUUCUCUGCACACGCUCAAGCAACUCAACGUCGUUCUUCUAGUGAGGGGCCCAAAACUGAACACAGUAUUUAUGGUAUGGUAUUACCAGUGCCAUGUACAAUGAGACACUUAGGAAGACCUGCUCCAUAACUUAACCUGGUACUGAGGUCGGACUGAUGGGCCUGUAAUUCCCUGGAUCCUCCUUCUUACCCUUUUUGUAGGCUGGGUUCCCAUUCACUAACCUUCAGGCAACUAGGACCUCCCCAGUUAGCCAGAAGUGGUGGUAAAUUAUUGCUAGUGGUUUAGCGUAACAAAUUUCUGAGAUCCCUUCUUCAGCUGUCAUUAUUCAACAGAUGUGAUCCAAAGUAGAUAUGCUGAAUAUACUGUUUAAGAAAAAGACUUGGGGAACUUCUAGCUCAGAAUUAGACUUUGGGCUUAGAAAAUAGCUGUUUUUUUGGCACAGUGGACGGAGUUUAAAUGAGCACAAAUUGGUGAGCUACAAAGUUAGAAAGGAGGAGAAUUAUUUAGACUCAGGCCAGACAUAUCGGGGAAAGAGACCAAAAGUAAUUCCAAUGAGAAACACUGAUAGGCUGUGGAAUUAAAGGCCAGCUCUUUCUUCUCUUUCCUUACAGUCUGGAGUAUGCCUUGUAGCUCAUCAUAUUUUUAGCUUCUGGCACAUAUUUUAUUAACUUCCAUUAUAUAUAGAAACAAAACAGACCG